rnacentral:rRNA from 1 species
AAGACAGAGGGGGCAAGCGUUGUCCGGACUGACUGGGCGUAAAGCGCACGUAGGCGGCUUUGUAAGCUAGAGGUGAAAGCCCGGGGCUCAACUCCGGAAUUGCCUUUAAGACUGCAUCGCUAGAAUUGUGGAGAGGUAAGUGGAAUUCCGAGUGUAGAGGUGAAAUUCGUAGAUAUUCGGAAGAACACCAGUGGCGAAGGCGACUUACUGGACACAUAUUGACGCUGAGGUGCGAAAGCGUGGGGAGCAAACA